CUUUUUUUCAUUCUUUCUUAGAUCUGGGUAUGGGUAUGAAAUAUGAAUUAGUUUUGAGAAAUUCGGUUGGAUUGAUUUUUAUUUAGGUAUUUGGGUAACAUUAGGUUUUGAUUUGAUUUUUUGAAAUUUGGGGUUAUAUAUGAUUAUGUUUGGAGAGGGCAAAAACAAAGAAAUUGUGCCUCUUCAUACACAAUAAAACAGAGAAAUUCCGCCAGUCAGACUACCAGAAUCGUUACUGGUAAAGUUCUGAUUAUAUUCCUAUUUAAAUACAAUAUCCUGCUUCUAGCCAAAUUGUUUUUGUCUGCCACCGUCCAUACACCAAUUUAUCACAUCUGACCCUCUUCAGAAAUUUUAAAUAUUUCCUAUCCGACUAUCACCAAAUGCAUUAAAUGAUGAGAAAGCCCUGGACUUCUCAACGAUGCAUCAAAGAUAUUCAGUGACUCAAUAUUGUUUCACUAAGGCUGACUCCAUUUGUGGUUGCACCUUAUCAUUAUCUGGCCCACCAAGUGGAUAUGAUGGUGGGCAUGGUAUUGGUGGUCGAGGGGGGUUAUGGUGGUGCUUCUGCUGAGGCCCCAGAUGUGACAACUAAAGAACUAAGGGAGCUUUUUGGAAGCAUUGGACAAGUCUCCAUUCCCAGUGCAUUGAGUUUGCUCUCAGUUAUUGAUGGCAAAGGCAAAACAAGAACGCAGAUCUUCUUUAACUUCAUUCCAUGAAUCCUCUCCUGGAUUAGGAUCACCAUACCCCUAGUUCAGAUUGCCAUGAUCUGAGGAAGGAGGUUUGCAAUUGAUAGAACUUCUUGGAGAAUGUGCUAGCCAUGUAACUGCCAGAUGUCUUCAUAGUGUUAAUACCAGGCUUGAACAUAUUUCCUAUCUUGCCUCUCCUAAAGGCACUGUAAUUCAGCGAAUUGCUUCAUAUUUCAUUGAGGCAUUUGCUAAUAGGAUGCUUAAAGGCUUUACUGGUCUCUUUUGCAGUAAAAACAUGAUGUGUUCCAGGAAUCAAAAUUUCGUUGGAUGAAAGUUAAGUUCAAAACUAA